GAUGAACGCUAGCUACAGGCUUAACACAUGCAAGUCGAGGGGCAGCAUGAACUUAGCUUGCUAAGUUUGAUGGCGACCGGCGCACGGGUGCGUAACGCGUAUCCAACCUUCCCGUUACUCAGGUAUAGCCUUGCGAAAGUAAGAUUAAUCCCUGAUGACAUAUGUUUACUGCAUGGUGAUCAUAUUAAAGAUUUAUCGGUAACGGAUGGGGAUGCGUUCCAUUAGGUAGUUGGUGAGGUAACGGCUCACCAAGCCCGCGAUGGAUAGGGGUUCUGAGAGGAAGGUCCCCCACACUGGAACUGAGACACGGUCCAGACUCCUACGGGAGGCAGCAGUGAGGAAUAUUGGUCAAUGGUCGGAAGACUGAACCAGCCAAGUAGUUUGAGGGAUGACUGCCCUAUGGGUUGUAAACCUCUUUUAUAUGGGAAUAAAAAAGAUUACGUGUAGUCUAUUGUAUGUACCUUAUGAAUAAGCAUCGGCUAAUUCCGUGCCAGCAGCCGCGGUAACAC
rnacentral:rRNA from 1 species